AUUUUCAGGCCUGUGGGAGGCUCCCAAACAAUCACAGUAAUUCAUAUAUGAUUUCAAAAUUUGGAAGAGCUGUUGGUUGCUAUGAGAUAUACAACCGGGAGAAUUUAUUUACUCUGGAACGCUGGGAUCCAACUUGCUUUUAAAGUACGAGGCUGUCAGAGGAUUCAGACUGAGCAUCUGCACUUCGGUGGGGAUCAACUGGUACAUAACAGCAACAUCACUGAACGUAAUAGAAUCAAGAAAACUGCUUGGUAAUUAUACUAAAAUCUACGGACUGAAGGGCGUCAGUAGAGACAGCAAAAUUGUGAGAGGUUGUCAGGAUUCACCAUGACAGGAAUUGAUCCCAUGGAGCAGGACUGUGAAUACUGUAGAAUGAUUGCACUCAGCAACCUGUGUGGCAAAGAGAAGUAGACAUGUGCUACUGCCUGGGGCCAGAGGAUGAUGGGAAGGUGGAAAACAACCAUGGAAACAUAAGAGAGGGUGACCAAGACCCCGGUCAAAGGUUUGAACUCUGAGGUUUACAUAUGAAGAACCUGAGAUAAGAGAAGAAUAUCAGAUGAAGUCCAGAUAGAAUCAAUCUGGCCUAGACUGGCCUGGGGCGCUGAGGAUCAGACACAACCAGAAGAUGAAAGAGAAAGGAAAAUCCAGGGGCUUGCUUCUUUCAAAGGACUCGAAGGAUAUAACUUAAGGAAAAGUAGUAGUUGGACUUAUUCCCACUUAAUUCUGUCAUUUUGGAGUGCAAGUUUGGAUUGCUACUCCCUGGGACCACAAGUUAGAUGGUCUUACAUCACGUGCCACGCUUCUGACGCAAGGUUAGAGCCGGAGUCCCACCGUGGUGCCUUCUCACAUCCUUCCAGAUGAUGAAAAGAAAAUAACAGUAACAGCAACACCAACUUUUUAUGGUCAUUUUAGUGAGGUUUUGGAAGAAGUGAAGAUCAAUACCUUUAUCAUUUAACUACUUCUGUGUAAUGAAUUGCCAAAAUACCCCUAAACCCCUUGUCUUAAAACAAUAAAUAUUUGAUAUGGCCCAUGACUCCAUGGUUCAGCUGAGUAGUUCUGGUGAUCAGACCAGCUUUGGCUUAUCUCAACUGAUGAGUUGACUGGGGUCUGGCUUGUAAAAGAUGGUCUCAUUCAUGUAUCUGUAGGUUGGCUUGCUCUUGGCUGAAGUAGUGGAUCUAUCAUCAUCCAUUAGGCUACCAUGGGUUUGUUUUCAUGGUGGCUAGGCAGGUUUCUAAGAGCAAAAGCAGAAGCAUGCAAGGCUUAUGCUUGUAGCUGGUACAUUAUCAUUUCUGCCAUGUUCUAUUUGCCAAAAGCAGUAUCAAAGGCAGCCCAGAUUCAAGUAGUGAGGAAAGAUUAGU